UGAUAACUAAGCACUACACCACACUGACUCUAAACUUCUUUCAUGGCUGAACAGCAUGUUUUUGAAGAUAUCAAAGGCAUAUUUUGACUUGUCUAAAAGAAAAUGGCACAUUCCAAGCCUUGGUGAGACUUUUCGAUAAGGACAGGAUCACUUGAUAAGGGAACAGACUACUUCCCCUUUUCCUCAUUAUCCUAAAGCUCAUAUGCUGCAAUGUUCCAAAGCAGCUUCUCAGUCCUCAGACAGAUUUUGAAGCAGGCUCCUCAUUGGCCCGUUCAAUUUUGAUGUUUUGGCGACAAUUUCACCCUGUAGUGCAGCUGGUCAGAAUCUCACUGGUUGGCCAAGCUUGUGAUUCAUGGCUGCCAGGGAUGGAGUCGGACUGCAAGGGGCUGCAAAGACUCUCCUCCCUGGAAGAGAGGGGAGUGGUUGUGGGCGGGAGCCCGAGCACCGCCCCUAGCAGGGGCGGUUGCCCCCUGCCUCCACCUCACCUGGCUGGCGCCCACGCCCCCUCUGCAGGCAUCCAACCAGGUGCCUCGGAGGGGGCGUGUUCAGCAGCCUUAUGCUGCGGUGCCAGCCUCUCCCUGGCCUCAUUCUUCGCCGUCGUCGUCGUCGAGCCUUAUUGGCUCGGGUGGCGGUUAGGCAUUGGAAUAAUGUGUUGUGGUGUGUCGAAGGGCUAGGUGUGGCCAUCGCCUAUGCCUUCAAUUUUUGGGUAUUCCGUUAAAGGAAUCUGGCGGUCGUGUGUUCUGUCCGAUGCCUGCUUGGCGGGAGGCCAUGGCACGACCCUCGGUGACAUCAGGGGAGCCUAUAGUUGGAUUAGCAUCAACAGGCUCCACCUACUGGUGAAUAAACCCACGUGUUUUAGAGAUCCAAUGCCUAAGCCAAUACCUUUUCACUGCUGUAAUCAAUAAAGUUGUGGCCUUUCCAUGCCCAUUAACCUUAUAUCACGUGUCCUUGUGUAUUCAUUUCACAUCGCGGGGGUCAGGUCCUCGAACCACAAACUCUGCCCAUCCAGAAAGGGGCAAGCGACCAUUGUAUCAUCAACAAUCCUGGAGUUGCAUCCAAUGCUCAUCAUACUAAUGGACCUAAGCUAAUGCUGUCCAUUAAACUCUCACUUUUGGUGAAUUCUAUUCACAUAAGGGUCACAGACUGAGGCUGUCAUGAAGCCACAUUUGAUUUCCUAAGGUAUCUGGCUUGAUUAAUGCCACAGCUCAUAUCCCUAGCUCAACCAGUUGUAGAAGGGAAAUACAGUGGUACCUCAGGUUACAUAUGCUUCAGGUUACACGCACUUCAGGUUACAGACUCCACUAACCCAGAAAUAUUACCUCGGGUUAAGAACUUUGCUUCAGGAUGAGAAUAGAAAUCAUGCUCCGGUGGCGCAGCAGCAGUAGGAGGCCCCAUUAGCUAAAGUGGUGCUUUAGGUUAAGAACAGUUUCAGGUUAAGAACGGACCUCCGGAACGAAUUAAGUACUUAACCCGAGAUACCACUGUAUAGGAAAUAUGAGUAUAUUUAAGGUAGGAGAGGCUGAGCCAGUUCAUACAGGAACUGAGCAGGAAGAGCAAACAGUCUCUCUGUGGAUUUUUGAGGGGAUAUUACUGUGACCUUUCAUGGACACUACUUAGCAUCAUAUGGGUGACUCCUGUGUUAUAUUAUUCACCAGAAUCUUUUACCUAGCAAAUAUGCAUAGAAUCCAUGUAAUAGCUUUUCAUGUUUAUCAGACACAGAAGCUAUUCACAACGGAUAUCAAGUCCUCUUCCCUGAUCAACUUUCUUGGCUUUUUCUUAUAUUUGUAGAAAGAUUUGGCAUAAGAAUGGUAUGGCAUGAGUGAAAAACAUUAUCCUAAAAAUGUUUCUAAAGGUCCCUUCAUAUGAAGCUGCAUCUAGCCUCAUCUGUUAGAUGACAUUUCGGGGGAAAUGUAUUUUUCUCUCCAAGGCCUUCCUGUGUGAAACAAUGAGAGCAUCUUCUCUACUGGGAGCCUCAAAUUUACAUGUUACUGCAUUCUCCAUUGCAAAGGGCUUUGGAGAAUCAUUAUAUUGAUAUUUCUCCUUCACAGUCAUAGUGUGCAAAGCACUCUUCACCAGUUGAUCAAACGCUAAACCAUUGUCCAGAAACUGCUAGAAGUAAAAGAUUGGGAAUAAAAUUACAGCUUCAAUUUCUUGACCAUAUUUUCAUUUAUUAUAAAGGGCAAAUGACCUGACCUCUUGAGAUUGCAUUUUUUUAUGAUAAAAUUGGGACAGUUCUUUUUUCACAUAACGAUCUGGUGAGUGCCUAAUACAAUGAAUAUCUUCAAGCACAUUUAUCAUCUACCUGAGGUUUGAACCUCUUUCCAGCUGCACUCUUAGCAAACUGUAGAUUAUCUGGCACUUAAAAUCCUCAACAAGUUACAGAUACUUUUAUUCUCACAAACACCUGACUCCAUAUUCUCCUGCCUACAAAAGGUGAAUAUGCUGUUAGCAAACUGGGCGAGAAAAUGUCAGUUUUAUCAUUUUUAUUCAGAACACCUCUCCUUUUAUUUAUGAACACUUUCUUCUGAAGUCAUUUGUGGACUUUAUUGCCUGUACAAGAUGUUGGGUUGUUUUAAGAUGACUCUGUAAAAACAGAAUAAUUGGGUUCGUUGUUUAUUGCCAUGCAAACGCUUUAGCACAAAAUAUGCUCUGUUUUCGGGGGGGUGGGGAGAGAGUAUAAGCCUUUGUGUAGAAUUUAGAGGAUUUCAACUAGCUCCCAAGGCCCAGCUGAAUGUCUUUGUCUUGCAUGUUGUGUGGCAAGGCCCACAGCUCAGAAAUACAUGCUUCACAAACAUAUGGUUCUAAGCUGCAACGCUAGUUCAAAGCAUCUUAGCUAGUCAGGCUGGUAAAAAAAUCUCCUCCUUGAAUCUUGAGCAACUGCUGCCACUAAUGGUACAUGGUAACUAGGCUAAUGGCUGGCUAUUUACCUAUAUCUAUAGAUAUAAACUUGCAUGCCAUAAACUUCAAGAUCCUUUUCAAGCUCUCCUAACUGUAAAUCCACUUCCUUUUUGGGCAGUGAGCACACCUAACAGUGUGUAUCCUGGUUCAAUUAAUUUAGAAUGGAAAUAAUAGGUAAGGGGUAAAAGUAAAGGACCCUUGGACGGUUAGGUCCAGUCAAAUUCGACUAUGGGGUGCAGCGCUCAUCUCAGGCCAAGGGAGCCGGCAUUUGUCCACAGACAGCUUUUCCGGCCAGCAAGACUAAACUGCUUCUGGUGCACGGAACACCAUGAUGAGUGCCAUAGCACAUGGAAACACUAUUUACCUUCCUACCUAUUUAUCUACUCACGUUGGUAUGCUUUCCUGCCAACUGCCAGGUUGGCAUGAGCUGGGACAAAACAACAGGAUCUCACCCCGUCACUGUCGGAAAUCAAGCCUAUAUAGGGAGUAACUGGCAACAUUCCCAGGCACCCGGCUUUGUCUCCUGUUGACCUCCCUGGCUGCAUUCCCAGCAAGAUCCAGGCUAGGUCGCGAUAGGCGAUUCUUCUCAGCGUGAGAAGAACACCCCCCCCCUCCUGCUCUCCCGGCAGGGAAAAGGAGAUGGACAGAAACGUUUUUACAUGCUUUUAUUUCUGUCUUUGAAGCAUAACAGAAAACAUGACUGCUCUCUUCAAGCUCCAGCAGUAGAGAGACAAACACCUCCUGUACUUCCUGUACAAGAGCAAGAGGAAGAGCUCAUAUUACACUCUGAGCUAAUUCCGGUGCAUUGCCCUGUGAGCUGACUGUCCCUCUGUUUCCCACGGACAGUCACAACAUUCCCAUCAUGUUUACUUUUCAAGCUAGCAGUUUGCAGCUGCAUUGCUUCUAUAUCGUAACAGUCACAAGGAUUUGUACUGCCAACCUUACAAUCAGCAAGCCCAAGCGGCUUGGUGGUUUAGACCACAGAACCACCUGUGUGCUAAUGUGGAAAUAAUAGUGACAACAGUACCACUUCCUUACCCUAUUUUGUUUUUGGGAAGAUAAAACACAUUCCACCAACCAAGCCCAAACAUUUUUCUAUAAUCUCCCACAACAUUCAGUUGCAUGAAAUUUAUAUCCAUAUUAAAUGCUUGGGGUGCAUCUAAUCUCUGUGCGCAGCCAAAAUUGCAAUAGGGAUGAUUCAGAUGAGAUUUUCACAUGCCUGAGUCAGACCGUUCCAGAUCAGGGGUUCUCUAAAGUCCUGAGUCACUCUUUGGACUUGGGUGUCAUUUGAAAUAAAGGGAUCGCUGCAUUUUUCUUUUUUAAAAAAAGCAAAGCCAAGUUGACUCGGAAAACAUUUUGAUCUGAGCAUCAUGGACAUGGAGGUGUAGGGGCAGUUUUCAUUUUGAUGGACAGGUCUAGGUUUUAAUCAAACUGAAUGAUUUUCCCAGAACACUUCAAUUGAUGUGAAUUGGGGGAGGGAUUUUGCAGUAACCUUGUUUAGCAUAUGUCCAUUCUUCCUUUUUGAGUUCUGUCUGGUAAAGAAUGGUGUUUAGAAGACCAGUGGGCUAUUGUCUUGUUUCCAAACAAUUGAAACCAGUACUUUAGUCUACUUGUCUCAGUUCAGCUGUUUCUGUCACCUCCCUAACCCUAUUUGCAUGUCAUUGUUAUUAGUGUGAAUCAGCUUUCCUAUACUUUCCUCUUCCCUUGGCUGAGUGGUAGUGCAUUUCAUCCAAUUUAGUUGUUUCUUAGAAAACAGAAAGAUAUUUGAAUAAAAAUAAACUGAGAUAAGAAUAGACAUUAAUGAUUCAUUAUUCAAUUUUUGUCUUCUGUUAUUUUUUCCUUAGGUUUGUGCAGCCUUUUAAGAGUCCUAACUACUGUGUGUUUAUUAAAAUGAAUGGAAAGAGUGCUACAGCAUUGUGGUAAGUGGUUUUUUUUUGGGGGGAUGAGUAUUUUUAAAAGUGGGGAGAGGGCUUACAACAUUUUCUAGAAGUAUUUUAAAUCAAAUUUCAGAAAUCCAGUAUAAUUAAGCUGUUAGACUAACGGGCUAAAUUUGAACCAUGUCUGAAUGUCCUUCAGCAACUCAUUAUUUAUUUUACAUUUUUACCUGAAAAUAAUAUAAUUUGUAGUUAGGAGAGGCAAGAAUUAUACAACUCUUUUGCUUAGUGAAUCUGUUAAUGCUCCUCAUGGUGCGCAGCAUUUUGCCCCCAACCCUUAAACGGCUGGAGACAUGGGACACACUGGCCUGGUGAUGCUGCCACAUUGCAGCUUGGCCAAUGAAGGAUAGACAUGUCCACUCUAAUUUAAGGCAAUGAGGCCUCAUCAAAUUUCCUGUAGCAGCAGCCUGACUACUUAACUGAAAGACUCUUUUUUUGCCUGUUCUGCUUUUCUGGGUAUUAAGGACUCAUUGAUUGCUACAUUUGGAUCAAACCAUGUACAGAUCACAACUGGCAGGUGCAGUGGAGUUGGGAGUAAAUGAAAGCAGAUGAGACUUUACUAAAAAUGAAUAAUCAUAAUAAUAAAAACCUAUGAAAUGGUGCUGUAAGAAAGCUUAUCCUAAGCAACCUUGUCACCCUAUAGAAUCUUGGAGUCCUGAAAUAGCAUCAAACAGGCUUAAAGCUAAUGACACUCCCUCUUCUUUUACAAUUAACCUUGACUUUAAUAUCAGUCUUUUUUGCCCUAGUCAUUCCUAGAGGAGUUCUCAUCAGCCUCAGCUAAUUUCAUAUAGUAGGUCCCAUCUCUUUCAGCAUCUCUUAGCCCAAGGAGAGUUGUUGAAAAUGAGGGUUUGUAGCUCUAAUCUUGGGAGCCAGUAGGAUAAUUAUUUAGCCUUAACUAGUUUAGUUGCAGAUAUGUAAGGAAAUAAAGAUAAGAUGGUUAAAGCUACCAAGUUAUUUCUGUCUUCAUUCAUGCGGUGUAGGGUCAAUGAGAAUUUAUCAUCUUUAACUAGUGGUUUUAUUCUCACUUGUUUGAAAUAAUCUCACUGCUUGUUUUAUUGCCUGAAAACUAUCUUUUUGAAACAUUGACCUAUUUAUAAAUCAAAUAAUGCUACAAGCACUGAGAUUAUCCAAUACACGUUCUUGCAGAAACCACUUAUUUCACUGCAGCUAGGAGCAUCUUAUUAUAGAGUUGGAAAAAAGAAUACUCAGCAUUUAACAAGCCUUAUAAAAUUAAAUAAGUCCUUAUGGGCAUGUAAUAAUUGCACCAUAUAUAUUAUUUGCUCAUAUUCUUACAGUAUUUUUGCAUAUAAAAGUUUAAUCAACGAAUGUGCUUAAUAUUAUUUUAUUACUAGCAAUUAACCAAAACAAUCAAUUUUAGAGAAGUGUCUACAAUACUUUAUGCUGAAUUCUAAUUAAACAGUUACAGUUCCAUUGCAUAACUUUAUGAGGCUAUAAUUUUGUUCCUAAGAAGAUAAACUAUGAAUACAGAGGACAAACAGACCAUCCUCAUGAGUGUUUUUAAAAGCUGACAUCCUAUAAAACAGUGAAGAUAAACCUCCAUCUAUUCUCUCUCUUCCUUUCUUUUUUUCUUUCUUCUCUCUCUCUCUCUCUCUCUCUCACACACACACACCAUCCAUUUUAUGUUGUUGCACACUGAAAGUAUUGAGUUGUCUAUUGUUUUCUCACUUGUCAACUGGCCAAUGCAAUCUUGCAGAACAGCAAAUUGUGACACAGCCCUUGCCAUUUGUGCAGUAGAAUUACCAUGGAACCAAAUUUAUUUGAAAAUCCAAAACCAGCAGCAGAUCAUUUUAAUAAUCAGCCUUUUGAAUAAGAGGCAGUGCAAGUCACUUCAUUUGAGGAUGAUGUUUGCUUAAACACAGAGAGAAAAUAAAUGCAGAUUAUAAUAAAUGUCAAAGCCAAUUCUUGGAAUCAAACUGAGGAUGAGGCCUGAAUGGAUCUGUGAAGAGUUCAGCAUGUGGUAAAGUGGUGAUGAAAUUGAUUUACCAUUGCUGAAAUGCCCUCCUCUGCAUUACUGCUAAAGGUACAUAAGGCAACUUCAAGUGUCACAAGGCUUCGCCAACGUCUCAUGAAAUGCCACCGCAGGCUUGGUGACAUCACAUGAGAAUUUGGCUUUUCUGCCCAUGACAUUUUGCUACCUGAAGCUGAUCUCAAAUGGCACUACACAUACAGGAGAACACUUUACAAGCCUUCCUGUGCCACACAGAUAUCAAUUUCUGCCUUAGGGAGCAAUCAUAUGCUGAAAAAGUUGGCAUAAAGCACACUGGUGUUAAGUUAAUGUUACACCAGAUCCAAAUGCCAUCUAGCAGCAGGGCAGCUGCUGUUGCUCUGUCUAAGCCUAACAGAGGGCAAAAAAACCUUUAGAAUAGUGUGCUAAGUUUCCAGUACACAUAACCAAACUGAACUUAGGAGCCAGCCUAAGUCUUCUUUUGUUUCACCCCCAUCAUGUCCACUUUGGUGUUUUUUUUGCACCAACCUGAAUUCAGCCUGUCUCAGCUCAGCUGCUUAAUCCCUGACUCAGUAAUUUACAUAAGUGUAUCUUCAGCUGUGCCAGGGUUUGGAGUUUAAUGAGCUGGGAAUCAGCAAGCUGAACUGGAGAUCCACUGUAUCCUAAGCUGCCCAGAUUUCGCCCACUAAAUUGACCACCACCAUUCCACAGGGCUGCCUGAAGUUGCUUCAUUCCCCUGGGUGACAAUGCGGACUCCAGUCUCACAAAGUACGUUUAGUGGACUUUAUUCAUAAUCAAAUGUGCACAGGUAUGCUCCUAAUUUGAGCAAUGAAGGUUGCCCAGUAAAAGGUUGUAACCUCACAUACUUUGCCUCAUUUCUAAACCCAUUUAGCUGAAUUCAGUGGAAUAGACUUCCAUGAGAGUAUUCUUAAUAACUCAGCUUUCAUCAGAAAGUGUCACUUUAAUCCAAGCUGUGAAGAAAACUGGAAUCUAUGAAAGGUGACAAUGACAGAAUUCUUCUGGGCUUUAGACUGAGCACUUUUACCUAGAUAUAUAAUAUUAUUCUAAACUUUGUACCAUGUGCAUUUCCCCCUAGAAUAUGACUGGUGAUAGCAUUAUUACUUUUCUCCAGUGGGCACUUUGGAAAGCAGAGCAUGUUAGUCAGUACAUGUUUACAUCAAAAAUAGGGUGACAAAUAUUCAUAUGAUACAACAUCAGUGCAAUCAUAGUUCAUCAGUCAUAACCAAUGAGGUUUGGAUCUGGACUUCAAAAUUAUAGUGAUAUGAAUCCUGCUGGGGAACCUUCUUAAAUUCACCAGAUUAUAAAGCCAUUUGAUUCCACGGCAGUCUAUUGAUAUCUUCUAUGGUAUACUAUUUGGUGUAGAUGGAUUGCACCACACUGAAGUGGGGAAAAUGAGACAUUUCUAAGAGAAGGAAGGCUCAAUCUUCUUAGAGCUUGAUUUAUACAGGUUGGCCGCCCAACCUGUAUAAUCUUAUAUAUGUAUAUAUAUAUAUAUAUGUGUGUGUGUGUGUGUGUGUGUGUCUUAAAAAUGGGAAAAGAUCAAUUUCUGCUUGCAGCUUUAAAUUUUCGGUUGGUUCUCUUUUCCAUUAUGUUGUUGAAUUCAGCAAUGAGAAAUUCUAGAAUAAAGAAUUAAUUCCCCUGAUGGAAAAAGCACACAUGCUUUUCGGCCAUGCCCAUGGCUUGCAUGCUUCUUUUGAAGAGAUUGGAUAGUGACAAUGAAAAGAGUACAGGAUGCAGCAUAAGUCCAUUCCUUCCCUAUGCUGCCCACAUUUCCACCCCAUUUCAGCUGGUCCUCUGUACAUCCUUGCUGCGUCAUAGCUCCACUGGCAGAAUCUCCACUGGUGUAUUUGUCAUGCUAGUGUGUCAGGGGCAGACAGUAGUGGGAAGGGGCCAGUGAUUUAUGGGGUUCUGAGGUGGGAAAAGAGAAAGAGGCUGGGCAUUCAGAGACGGGAGAAGAAGAGUAGGUGCAGAAGAGCUGCAGGAAGGUACAGAGGUGGAAGAGACAGUCCCUCACAGUUUCCAAUGGUGAGAAUAAGCUUAAAACAACAGGAGGAGUAGCUGGAGCUGACACACAGGAAAAGUUGCUGGUGGCUUGAACACACUGCAUCAGAAGAGGGGGUUUAAAUGUGCUGAUGGAGGCAUGGUCAUGCUGUUGCUCCAACUGUUGAGUCGGAGAAUACUGCAGAAGGAGAUGCCUAGCUAUUUAGCAGGAGCAGUGCAUGUGACUCUUGCACCUUAGGAGCUGAUGUCAUUGGGUGUCUUGCCAAUAAAGUGUUGGGAUACUGCCAGGGAGACAAAGUCCAUCAUGACUCUACGUCGCCUCCGGACGUCCAUCGAUCUCCCGUAGAUACAGUAUCAGCAAUUAGCAACACGAGCUCCCGGAAAUAGCUUGCCACAUUCCAGAGCUGAUGCACGCUCUAUCAGCAGAAUUCACACAGCGAAAGAUGCACUCAGGAGAGCAUAUUUACAACUUUAUUCAGCGUUGGACAGAACAAAGAAAACAUGACUGCCUGCUUCAGUGUCUCAGACACACAGAGAGAAACGAAAGCAAAAGACAAAACAUAAACUUCCUGUGAACAGGAAAUACACAGACUCUGUGACUCACAAAGCCUGCUCCCUUUUAAGGUGGAAUGGAAAUAUCCUAACAUCCUCCCCCUUUCCGUGUAACCUGUAGUACCUGUGGUUCAACCCAAUUGCAACCUCUGUACGUAAACCUUAAGUUGUUCUCUGUUAACAACCUUAGACAACAGAUCAGCAGGAAUUUCAUUUCCUGCCAUGUAGGACACCUGAAUGAGUCCUUUCUGAAUACACUCUCUUGCACGAUGUAGCUUAAUCUGCAAGUACUUGGUUCUUUGCUUGCAACUCUCUGAGUUCAGCAAAGCCAAACAGGAUCUAUUGUCUUGAUACACUUGUAUAGGACAUUUCACAGAAACUCUGAUGUCCUUAAACAGUUGCAUCAACCAUUCACAAUCCAUGAGUGAAAAUGACAGAGCAUUGAGUUCUGCUUCACAGGAACUUAGGCUUACUGUCGUCUGCUUCUUGCACAGCCAGUCAAACAGACAGUGGUUGUACAUGUAGCAUACUCCAGAAGUGCUUGUACCAUCCGUGGUGUCACUUCCAAAACUAGCAUCUGCAAAGAUUUCAAGACCUCCAGUCUUCUGACUGGUGAACCUCAGCCUGUAGUGCAAAGUCCCUUUCAAAUAGCGGGCUAUGCGCUUCAGAGCUUUCCAAUCCUGAACAGUAGGAUUGUUAGCAUGUCUGCUAAGCAGGUUAGUGCUUACAGCUAUGUCAGGUCUUGAGCAUCUAGCAAUGAAAUUCAACUUGCCUAGAAUGCAUCUGUACAGCGUAGUGUCAGAAAACGCUUCAGCAGUACUAUCUACCUGGUAACCUGUCACCAUCGGUGUGUCUGCUGGGUUUGCAUCAACCAAAUUCAACCUGGUUAAUACAUCAGCAAUUUUCUGUGUUUGGUGUACCAGAAAAUUACCUGCUUGGUCCCUCUCCACCUGCAGAGAAAGAUAGUUGGAUACCUCACCAAGAUCCUUCAUGUCAAAGUGCUCCUUCAGCUGAGCUAGGGUGCUUUGGUACAAAGCCUGAUUCUUCCAAAACAUCAGAAGAUCAUCAACAAAACAUAAACAAUACAGUUUGUUUUGCCCCUCCUCCUUGACAAACACACAUGGAUCAGCUUUGCCCUGGUGAAAACCUAGAGAAAGCAAUGUCUCAGUGAGUUUUGUGUUCCAACACCUGGCACUCUGCUUGAGACCAUAUAAGGAUUUCCGCAGUUUACAGACCAUUCCCUUCUGUAUCUGCAUUCCAUCAGGUGGAAGCAUAUACAGCUCCUCCCCCAAAAUCCCGUACAAAAAGUUGUAUUAAUGUCAUGAUGGGAAACAUGCAGUUUCUCCUCUGCAGCAAUCUUGAGCAUCAGCUGAAUGCUCUUAUAUUUGACGGUGGGUGAGUAGGUCUCGUGGUAAUCCUGUCCUGGUACCUGUGAAAAACCUCUGGCAACCAAUCUGGCUUUGUGUCUGACAACCUUGCCAUUCUGGUCUGUCUUGGCCUUGAAGACCCAUUUGCUGCCAACCAGUCUCAUUCCUGGGACUACCGGUACCAGUUCCCAAGUUUGGUUCCUGUUCAAGGAAUCAACUUCAGCCUUCAUGGCAUUAAGCCAAGGCUCAGCAUCUUUAGAGGUUAACUCCUGAACCUCUUUGAAGCUUGAAGGUUCCCACACCUUCUCUGAGCUACUAAGAACAGCAGUUGCCGUCUUAGCAAACUCAUCAGCAAAUCUCUUUGGAGGUUUGCCCUUCGUCGCCCUUUCAGAUCUGCGUACUAGACGCAAGUCUUCUGGACUCAUCUCCUCCUUCUUAGGAGAAAAGUGACCAAUGGUGAACAGUGGUUCUUCCAGUUCAUUGUCAGACGCAUCAGAUGGUCUGACUGAGGCCUUUGCGCUCUUGUAGUCUGCUGUGUCAUCACUGUCGCUGACACCAGCAGCAGCGCCGCCCACUGAGCUGGAAUCCGAACUCUGAUCAUCAUCAUCAUCAUCCUCAGCUUCCUCAGCAUUAUCUGCUUUCUUCACAUCACCUUCAUCCUCCUCUGAGUAACUCUGGAAAAUUCCCACAUUUUCCCCCCACUUAGGAUUGUAUUCAACACUCUUUGUGAACUUAAUGGAUUUAGAGUCAGUCAUCCAUACCCUGUAUGCUCCCUUUUCGUACCCCAUGAACAAACCAUGUGCCCCACGCUUCCCAAGCUUGUUGCUCUGUGGGGUGUGUACCCACAUGUCAGAACCAAAGAUUCUCAUGUGCUUGAUGUUGGGUUUCUUACCAAACAUCUUCUCAUAGGGAGUACAACCAAUAGGUGAUGACAGUCUCCUGUUAAAAGUGUAAACAAAAGUCGACAGAGCCUCCCCCCAAAACUUCUCAGAGAGAUUGGCAUCAUGCAAAAAGGUUUUUAGGCCUUGAAGCAAAGUCUGAUUUGCUCGCUCCGCAAGUCCAUUCAUCCAUGGCGAUCUAGGCGUUGACAAGUCAUGCUGGAUUCCCUUCUCAGUCAGGAAAGCUUCAAACUGCUGAGAAGUGAACUCCCCGCCCCGAUCAGUAAAGAGACAGCCGAUACGUUUACUGUGAACAUUCUCCAACCAAGCACAGAAUGCCUUGAACUUAGGAAACGCUUGCGAUUUCUGCUCGAGCAUAAACACAUGAAUGUACCUGGAAAAAGAAUCAAUUAGAACCAUGAAGUACCUUGCUCCACCCAAAGAGGGCGCAAGUGGACCAACCAGGUCUGCGUGGACUAGCUGGUAGGGUUUGGAAGCCUGCCUGCUAGACUCCUUGCCUUUUGGAGCAACCUUCACCUUGUUCUCUGCACAAGAUACACAUUUCAUGUGAAACUUACAGGGUUUGAUGUUCAAACCCUCAACCAACUCUGGCAUCUUGGCCAGUGCCUUCCAAGACAGGUGACAAAAUCUGCUGAUGUGCAUCAUGAAUGCAUCCUGCAUGAAGAACUUUGUUAGUUUGUGCAACACAACAAGAAUCAACAUUAGACACAACAGCACCAUUGUCAUCAUAAGUUAUACAGAAGAAUCCAUCUAUAAACUUUGCAUGCAAAAUGUCCUCUUUGCCUUUCCUGAUGACACAGACGCUCCUCUUGAAGGAAAUCUCAAAGCCACGCCCAGUCAGCUGUGGGACACUGAGCAAAUUGUCUGCAGCACCUGGAACAUAAAGUACAUCUUUGAUGGUAGUGUGCAGACUUGCCAGUUUCACAGUCCCUUCUCCUGCAAUUCGUAACGUCUUUCCGUCAGCCAGGUGGAUCUCACCAUCUUGAGGUUUGAAGGAGAUAAAGAGAUGCCGGUCUUUUGCCAGAUGGCGGGUGCAUCCAGAAUCAAUAAUAAAUCUGGCCUUGGCCUUUGGAGCAGCUUUUCCAGCAAGCAAAACCUUGUUUUCCACCGGCGUGGGCUUUUGCUGCUUGCCCCCCUGCUCCUGGCCAACAAACUUGCCUUUAGCCUUUGGUGAAGCUGUGCCAGCAAACAAAGCCUUGUUUUCCACUGGCGUGGGCUCUUCACCCCCCCCCUUCUGCUUCUGGCCAUCUGCAGGCAUUUGUCUCUGUUUACCUCUGGCCUUCCGGCCUCUGCAGAGCGAUGACCUUGGUUCCCACGAGAAACAGAGCUCUCAGCUGCCGACUCCUUGGCUCCCCUGGAGGUUGGAAUGCUGCCUGGGAUGACAUCACAGUCAGCUCCUCCUGCAGCUUGCAACCGGUGCCCUCGGCAUCCCUGCAUUCACUUGCAUUCUGGGAAACAGCCAGGACCUCCGAUGCAGUCAAACUCUGGGCUGGGAUGACUGGCAGAUGGGCUAUCUUCAAAGCAUUCCACAUCUGACGUGCAGUCAUGUUGCCAGCUAGCAUUUUAAUUUCCUCCAGAGAGACGGAUAAGACUAUUACGUCUAUGGCCUUUGAAUGUUGGGCCCUCCAUCUAUCUGUCAGAGGAACUGGAGGGGCCUCACACACAGUAUGCCACACUCCAAACUGUCGUAGUAAACUCUCACACCACACAGCCCAGGUCUUGUAAUUGUGCCAAUUUAGCUUUGGGCACUCAGCAGCUUCAGAAGCUUGUAAAAACUCCAUCUCAGCUAUUCACUUGAGCCGUGAGCCCUUAUUCACAUCAGAGACUCCUUAUCUUGGCAGCUCAUAAAUCUUGAGGCCUGCUUGGCUCGGCUUCCAGACCAAUUAGCCGAGCCGGACAUCAAAGAGACUCUGCCGCGGCAACGAAAAGCCUCGACUUUCGCUUUUCCUCCACAUACCUUCAGCAGUCCGUCGCAGUUUUACUCUCCUGUAAGUGCCGUGAAUCUGGUCCCAUAACCUGUUGUUGGGAUACUGCCAGGGAGACAAAGUCCAUCAUGACUCCACGUCGCCUCCGGACGUCCAUUGAUCUCCCGUAGAUACAGUAUCAGCAAUUAGCGACACGAGCUCCCGGAAAUAGCUUGCCACAUUCCAGAGCUGAUGCACGCUCUAUCAGCAGAAUUCACACAGCGAAAGAUGCACACAGGAGAGCAUUAUUUACAAGUUUAUUCAGCGUUGGACAGAACAAAGAAAACAUGACUGCCUGCUUCAGUGUCUCAGACACACAGAGAGAAACGAAAGCAAAAGACAAAACAUAAACUUCCUGUGAACAGGAAAUACACAGACUCUGUGACUCACAAAGCCUGCUCCCUUUUAAGGUGGAACGGAAAUAUCCUAACAUAAAGAACUAAGAUUUUAAUUGCAUGUCCUCCUUGGGGGGCUGGGUAUAUUUGGGGUAUAUUGCACUGUAGUUUGUUUUUUUCUUAAUCUGAUUGAAUAAAGUCGAUAUUAUGGAAAAACCUGAAGAGUUUCUUGCUACUAAUUUCCAAAGGAGGAAGAGUUAACCACUGCUUCAUGUCUUUGCUGUAAAAUUCUCUUUGAUGUAUUACAUAAAGAAAAAUCAUAUUACUUUACUUUUAUGGCUUUGAAUAUAUGGAAGAUAACUGGCACCCCUAAUUGUCUGUGUACUCCAAUCUUAUCUUCAGAUUUGACAUGUUAAAUGGUACAAAGCUCAAUUCAGAAGCUUAUCUUGGUAUUUAUGACUAAUGGCAUUUUCAGUGAACAAAAAAAGAUAGAGAGACUCCUGCUUCUAUCCAUUGCAGAAACAUACAAAUAGCAUAAUGCAGAAACAGAAGAAUCUGAAAUGUUCUGUAGAUGAAGUGAAAUUUAACUUGUUUUUAAAACACUCAAAAACGCCUGACUUCUUCCUGAUCCUCUCACUCUCUCUCUUUCCAGACUGUAUAUAAACAUGGAAAGAGCAGUUUUAAAUAGAAGCAACAUAUGUCCAAAUGACAGUUUUAUUCAUAAACGCUUUGGUUUGAGCUAGUUUUUCUUCCUCCAUAUGCUAGCUAGCAAUACCAGAAUUCUAAAUGUCAGUCAAUCAGUCCUCUUGUGGUUUUGAUCACUAAUAUUUGGCACUGUUAUUAUGAACGGUUAUUUUUCAAAUGUUUGUCAAAAUCAGGCAAUUUGUUUUAAGGUGAGUCAGAUACAAAAACUGACACUGUGCUAGCAAACUUGGAAUGCAUCAAAAUCAGCACCCUUUAAUAGGCCUCUGACUGUAUUACAAAUGAUUGAAAUUAGCACCUACACACAGGCAAUCAAUCAGAGCCUCACAGGCAACUCCAGGCCAGGGGCGUAGGAAAGGGGGGCGGGGUGGGUCGCCCCAGGUGCCAUCAUGUAGGGGGGUUACAAAUUAUCAAGGAACAAUUACUGCCCUACUAGGGCGAUUCAUAAAAAAACUCUUUUUUUGAAAAUGCCUGCUCCAAAGGCACUAGGGAUUAUAUAGCUAUAUAUGAAAUUUCAUGCAUAUCAGUUAAUAUUUUGACCCUCCUCCACAAAAAUAGCUAUGUACGUGACCAUUUUCCUAUGUCAUGAAGGCUGAAAUUUCAAUUCAGUGGAGCAGGGUCAAGAUAUUAACUGAUAUGCAUGCAGUGAUCAGACACUGGCUGAAAAACUCAGGAAAAUGCAUUGGGGGAGGAGUCUCCCUAAAUUCCAUGGCAGUGGUUUACAGAGUCAGUCCAUGUUGCUACUCUACCUUCUUUCUGUCCAGACUGUGAAGAGAAAUCUGUGGCCAACUGAAAAUAAACCUCUGAUCACUAGCGAGCGAACAAAUAUUAAAUAUGACUGAGGGCAAAAAUCAACCCUUUUCUUACGUUCUUCCUUCAGGAUGCUUUUAUCCUCUUUUUUCUCCAACUGGAGGAAAUGUGAUUAAAAGACGAGAUACUGAAAAAGAAUGCAUAACACAAUGAUAAACCAUGGAAAGCUGAACACUGAGAUGAACUUUAAAGAUUCUUACAUCCUUCCCCUCCCCUCCCCUCCCCAAUUAUAGUCAUCUUAAGUGUUCUUGGCAAUCUCUAAAGAUAAGAAACAUGACCUACUCAGCGUAAUGCUGGUUUUUGAGGUGAAAAUUGUUGCUUUUAUGUGCUGAUCUAUUUAAUUAACGUUCCUGGAUUAUACAAUGACAAGCAGGCUGCUGAUCCCUUAGAAAUUCAAAUGAGUAAUAUGAGCAAAAAUAGCACACCUGACUCAGAAAAAACACGCACCCAAACUGUUUUACAUACCAUCCAAGCCCAAACAGUCCUUGAAAAGCUGGCAGUUUCAGAUUUCAGAUAUUUUGGUAGACUAUUAGGCAGGAUAAAGAAUGGAAUAAUAAUGCUAAGAACAUGAAUCAUGGACACAGCUCCAGUGCUCCCUUCAACAAGGAUCUUUCAAAAUCUAUAAUUAAGUAAUUUAGUUCAGUGAAAAAAUCAGCACAGUUUUAGGCAAUAAUGCCAUUUCUUAAAUUAAGGGGAUGGUUUUCUUACAGAAAGAUCACAACUAUGAAUGGUGCACUCCUGCAUAUUUUUUCAAGGGGUGUGUGGGUGUGUGUGAGUGUGGGUGUGGUUCUAAACCAGAUUCUAGUUAUACUAAGGUCUCAAUGAACUCACUUAGACUUAAGUUAGUGAUGCAAUUAUUAAGCUAUUGAAUGAACAUUUUAGGUAUUUUAUACUACAGUCAUACCCCGUGUUGCAUUAGGUUCAUGUUGUGUCUUUUUGGCUUGCAAACACGUGUAUACUUCCAUGUUUUGCCACGUGCGUGUGCGCAGAAGUGUUCUGCGCACUUCGCACAUUCGCAGAAGUGCUCUAUUGCACUCCGCGCUUGCGCAGAAGCGCCACUCUAGUUGUGGACUUUUCGGGAUGCGAACGGCACCCCGGAACGGAUCGUGUCCACAGCUAGAGGUACCACUGUAUACAGAUUUUACCCUUUUUUUUUGUCCCAGCCAAUGUUGACAUAUAAAGUGAGAUAAAAUGCCACAGGAUAUUGUUUUUAUUCCUUCUUCCUCAUAACAAAAGUGACCCAGGGAAGCAGAUAUCUUCUGAUAUCAUACUCUUGGUUUGGUAUUGAGACAUUUUACUAUCAUGAGAUACACUGGAGUUUAGCUUGAGGUAUAAAAAUGCCCCCCUCAUCCAUUUGUUACUUAUUUUUAAUGGACCUGAACUACUGAUAAACAUUGGUAGUAAGUUCAGUUUCAUCAAUUAUCUCCUGCUCUUUGCCAUAAAAGAUGGAACUAAAACAACUUUAACAAUCAAAUCACAAGUUGAAAUGCAAAUAGAAAAUGCAAAAGCACAAUUACAAAAUGUAAAGGCAGCCUCGUACCUCAGGAACACAGUGUAUAAAUUAGCACAACUCUCUGGGAAAGGUAUUCAGCAAAGUUGGUGGCACUACUCAGAACAAACCAAACAAAAGCUCUUGAAAAGUUCAACUGUAAAAGUUCUUUUCAACACUGAAUAUAUCCUCUAAUGGGAAAGCUGGUUAUGCAAAUUAACUCUUAAGGAGAUCAGAAUCUUAUUCUUAUUUUUUUUUUUAAAAAAAGAGAGAGUGAAAAAUGCUAUAGAUUUAUUAUCCUAUAUACCACUACCAGACUCGUUAUCUGAAUGAAGAUACUUAUAUAGCCAAAAUGUCACCACACACACAUGGAAAGGAAUCAGCAGGCUUUCGUGAACCUAGAAGUUUGCAGAACAAAGUAAAAAUAAAGGGGAAACGUCCAAACUGCACAAUGAUGCCUGAGCAUGCACAGUGCUCAUGGAAUGUUGACUGUUUUUUGAGGAGUGGUGGUGGAAUGGAGAAUUCUUGAAAAGGGUAUGGCUGAGUGGCUGGCACAACUAGCUUUCAACACUCCAUUCGGUAACAUUUUGUUAUAGGUCCCACUUGUAGCUGGGAAACAUGCAUCCAUGCUGAACUUUUACAAAAUCAAUAUAUCAUUACAUGUGGCUCUGCUAUUUUCUGUGAACUUUCACAUUCUUAUCUGCACACCACUUAAACCCACAGGAAACUAUCCUGGAAAGUUUAGAUUAUGCUAUGGUACCUUGAUUUCUCCCACACUACCAUUUAGAAGAAUCACAUUUGCAAGAGUCCUGUGUACUUUAAUGUACAUUUAAAAGGAGAAAGCAGGAGAGAGAGAGAGAGAGAGCACAAACACAGAAGGAACAUUCUUCCUAAAGCAGUACAUUUCUUUACAAACACAAACAGAAAUCUUGGCCAAAGUUGUCAUCAUUGCUUAGUGUGUCUGUUUAAAGUUUGCGAGGAGUUAGACAGAUUCUGUAUAAUAAGUAAGUUUCCCACUUUGCUAACUCCUUAACCUAGAAAACAAUAAGGAAGAAAGCUUUGACAGUUUUUGGUGGGCAAGGCAACUUGCUUUAUUGGGGUCAUUGCAUUCCUUCUGUCUACAACUGUGAUGCCCAAUUCAAGGAAACAGUAAAUUGUUCUCUUGGGAAAACGACUUUUAAGUAUAUAUAGAGAUGGGAGAAGAUGGGGAGAGGUGAGGAAGAAUUUUUAUUAUUUGUUUCAAGGACUGGUAGGUGCGAGACCUGUCAGAAUGAUAUGGAGCCAACCUACAUGUACUGAAUUAAUUUCCAGUGCGCUGUUGUUCUUAGCUGUUUUUGCUUGAUAAGUCAACUUGCCCUGAAGUAUUUCUUUUUUCUUUAAUUUUAUUAUUUCCCAGUUUAAAAUAUUACCUAUAAUUUGUGCUUUUUUUCUCAUUAGGUCAGAACCAAGUUACUGAACAAUGUUCUUAGUCAAUGAGCAUGUGCAAACCUGGGGAAUUGCCCUUUAGUUCCAGAGGGGAGUGACACAUGCCCAAUGUGAUUGUUUGCCAUUGUUUACAGGGCAACAGAAACCAAGAGGUGAGAGCAGGGCUGGCCCAAGACAUUUUGGCACCAAAGGUAAACCACAAAAUGCCCCCACCAGAGAAGGAGGAGUGAAUGAAAAUAUAUACAGUCAUACCUUGGAUCUCAAAUGCCUUGGCUCCUGAACAAAUCGGCUCCUGAAAGAUCGAAAUCUGGAAGUAAAUGUUCUGGUUUUCAAACAUUCUUUUGGAAGCCGAACAUCUGACGGGGCUCCUGCUGCUUCCAAUUGGCUGCAGGAACUUCCUGCAGCCCAUCAGAAGCCACACUUUGGUUUCCGAACAUUUUGGAAGUUGAACAGAUUUCUGGAGCAGAUUCCUUUUGACUUCCAAGGUACGGCUGUUUAGGGAACAGGGGGUGGGUGUCAAAUCAACCUUACCUGACAACUGAAGUGGGAAUUAAAAGGUUGUUGCUUUUAAUUUUAACACAGGGGAGGUCACAUUCUGAAUCAUACUGGGCAGGCGCAGAACCCAGGAGAAGGCAACUUCUGCCAUUUCCUCCCUAGGGAUGGGAUGUUGCAGAGGAGGCAUGGGGAGACAGCCAAGGAGAUGGCAGAUCUGACUUCCAAGGAGCGCACCACAGCCACUGCUUUCACCAUAGCAGCAGCAGCAGUGGGUGAUGUAUUUGUUGGAGGCAGAAUCUGCUGCCCCCAAGGUGGUCGCCUCACCUUGCCACAUGGAUGGAUCAGCCCUGGCUGAGACCCAUAGGGUGGUGGCAUGGGGGCAGGGCCUCUCUUUAUGGAACUUCUCCAUCGCUGAGAUAGGAUUGCCCUCCCUACUGCUGAAGUUUUGAUGUUGCUUAAAAACACAUUAAUCUUGCCAGCACUUGGUGAUGCUGGUCAAGAUCAACAGGAAGAAUUUAUUGUUUUUGCUACUGUAUCUUUAAAAGUGGUUAUAAAUUUGUUGUCAUUUAAAUGUAUUUUUAUGAUAUUUGUAUGUUGUUAUGACAUUUGUAUAAUUUUUUUAAUUGCUGUUAGGCAUCCUGGGUCCUUCAAAGUGUUGGAAGUUAAUUUAGGAAUCUUAUUUCUAGUUUUAUCAUUGUAUUCUUGCUAUGGCUAUUGAUUUUACACUUCUUGAAAUCAGGAAAGAACAAAGCUGGGUACAAAAAUGUUUGAUAUAAAAUAAAUCUGAAGGAAAAAAGAGAAACAUAAAAGCAUAAAGGUUCACUGUACCAAAAGCACUGCAGUAAAACUAGCCCUGAAUAUUAAACAUUGCAUCAUAUUAAGCAUAGCACCAGUAGUCAUUGCAGUGAGAAAAGGGGCUGCUUUUUAUUUGUUUAAAAAAUGCCAUUUUAAAAUCAAGAAAUGAGGAAGAUAGAUUAUAAACAGGUCACCAGAUGAUGGACUGCCCCAGACUUGUCAUUUAUCAUUAAGGCAUAGGUAGCUGAAGAAAAGUAUCAAAAUGCAAAAGUUAACAGGAAAAAACAAAAAUCAAAAAUGGAUAAUAUAAAUAAAAAUGACUGUGAAUGGAAAUAAGCUGAAAGUAAAACCCAAGAGUCAUAAAAAGAUCUCAGAAUAAGUCUUAAAUUUUUUGAAUAAAAACCAUCUGAAUUUCAAAAUCAGAAUUUAUAUUUGAUUAAGUUUGCAUAUCUAUGCAAAUUGGGGGGAAAGUCUCCUUUAAAGUUUUAGACUCCUGAAUAAACAUUAACAGGAUUAGUCUACUUGGCUGCAAUCUAUAGUUGAACUGUAAAGAGCUGUGUUUUACUAAAACCUUUGCAGCAUCUUCUAUCUACAGAAUGACAGUUAUGCAUGGUGGUGUGACCUCCCAGAUUUUUCUUACAUCCUGUACCAGCUAUAUUUUGGCUUCGUCUGUUGUUGUAAUAAACUGGUGAUAUUUUGGUCUAUAAAUGCCUAUUGGUGGUUAGUACCCAUUGGCACUGGCAGGGCAGAAAUCAGGGAGUAGGUGAAAGCAGACCCAAUAACAAGCAGAGCGAACUAAGUCUAGUUUUGUCCUCCUCAUCCUCUCUACAACAUUAUUCAAGAACAGCCCUUUUUCUAAGCGGGGAAAGGAGUUUAUGGGUAGCUCCAUCUCCUGGACUGGAGAUAAGUAAGAAGGUAAGCAGGUGGGAGUUGGCAUUUUGAUGCUGGUGGCAUUCCCCCUAAUGAACAUAUGAAUAACCUAUGGAAUCAGGCCAGAGGUCCAUCUAGUUCAUCAUCCUUUUCUUACCAGAUGCCCAUGGGAAGCCCGCAAACAUGGCAUGAGUGCAACACCAUCCUACGCACCUCUGAUUCUCAGCAGCUUGUAUUCAGAGUCAUGCUGCAUAAUGGACCACCUUCCUCUGUGAACUUGUGGGAACAAACAAUAUUUAUAUCCAAAGGAAAAGAACGCAAACAAUAUGUAUCCAACAGGGAACAGACCCACUGAAAUCAACGGGCUUAAGUCUGGGACUGCUCUGCGCAUGACUUAGUUGGGUAUGGCCAAUUAUCACAAAAUUAAUACAGUGGUACCUCGGGUUACAGACGCUUCAGGUUACAGACUCCACUAACCCAGAAAUAGUACCUCGGGUUAAGAACUUUGCUUCAGGAUAAGAACAGAAAUCGCACGGCGGCAGUGGAAGGCCCCAUUAGCUAAAGUGGUGCUUCAGGUUAAGAAUGGACCUCUAGAAAGAAUUAAGUUCUUAACCCGAGGUACCACUGUAACCACUUUUAGCUAAUAAAUCUUUACCCAGCUAUGCUAAAUCAGUAAGGUGUCUCAGAAGGUUUCAAACCAAUUCACUUCAUUACAAUGAGGCAGUUGAAAUGUGCAGUAUUAACAAUCAAUAAUGUAAAGUAGCAGAAAACAUGUCAACGGCAUGCCAAACAACAGCUGAGCAGUUUGUCUCAUGUCACCCUUUAGAUCUAAGCUCUAAGGCAUCAUCCACCAACAAUUCCUCUGUCUCCUGCAAGGGGCCAGAAAAACCUGCAUGACCAUGAUUCUUCCCAUAACAUGCUCUGAAUGGAUCCAUGAUCUCUAGUCACCCUUAGUAAAUGAAGCAGCCUUGGUAAAUGUAGUCAGGCAGGGCUCAGCCAGCCAGCACAGGUGGAAAUGGGCCAGGCAGAAAAGCAAGAGGGAGGUUUUGCCACAAUAUGUGAUUAGGUUUCUGCCGCAACUGCAGUCUGAGGCGAUCCAUAAGAUUUGGGUGUCAAUUUCAUAGCUUAAUGCCACUUUUUGUUUUCCUUAUCUUGUUCUUCUCUUUUAUCCUCUCUAAUGGUCAGGAAGAAAUAACACAAUUAAAUGCAUAGAUUUAAGUUGUUUGGUCCCUUCUCCUUCUGGAAUCAAUAGAGCUAAAUCAGCAUAACUAGUUACAGAUGGGGCUGCCAGUCACCUUUUUUCCCCCAAAGAAAGUAAUCCAAUUUCAUGUUGCUGGGGCUCCCCCCCCCCCCAUUUCUUUAUGAGGACGUACUAACUUUUUAAAUUGAACUCCCAGAGUGAAUGGAUUUGAAUCAAAAGAGAUUAGCUCCUUCAUCUGGUAACAUAAAUUUUAAAAGCAACCAGGAGCCAAAAUGAACAGUGAACUUUGAAAAUCCUAAAGCAAUUGGAAAACGACAAACUAUUCCUGAAAAUGUAAGCUCCGCAAAGAUUUUCACUUCAACGGUCAAAACUACGUAGUGUAGUUCUCUGGAAAAUCUCUUUGGUGAACUGUGAGUGACACAAACAAUUCGUGAUAGAGGGUUUUUGUUUGUCGGCUUGCUUGCUUGCUUUUUGCCCCCAAAACUUAACAAGCUCUACUUUUUUAUUUUACUUUAUCUCUCUCCCUCUCCUUCUCUCUCUGUUGGAUGCAGUUCAGGAAGAUGCUGAAUCCAUCAGAAAAAAACUGAGUCAGAUGGCGGGUAUGAAGCAAAAAAGGUGAUCUUUUAAUCAUAUGGUACAUGGUGGAAAACACCGCCUGUGCAUUUUGCUCUGCUCGUUUCAUCUUCCAAUUAGCAGCUCUGCAAAAAAAUAAAAAUAAAAAUAAAAAAUCAGAUAUAACCUUGGCUAUUACAUAAUGCACUCUGCUUUACACUUUACUGAAGUGCUGAUGUUAUGCAGACUUCCCCACACACACCCUGGUCUCUCUGAAAAAUAAUAACAGGCAUUUAAAAUCGCAUUCUCAGGCUAGUCCCUGUCAGUAUUUCAGUUGAUGAAGGCCCUUGUCCCAUUUUGCUCAAUGAAUAAAAGCACUUGAAAGUGACUAGGUUGUACAUCAAGAUUUCUCAAAGGACAUCUAAAGGAUAAAAUGCACCAGAAAGUUACUGUGACAUGGUCUAAUUUUUUAUAUUUAGCAAGCAAUGGAAACUCUAUGAACAUUUGAAUAAAAAACCCUUAUUAAAGAUAAGAAGACAGCUGCUUCAGUACAGGGACUGACCUAGUUCAGCAUUCUGUUUUCAACAGUGGUCAGUUAGAUGCUUCCAGGAGCAGCAGCAUUCCUUACAACAGGUAUGAGAAAUGUUUAGCUCUCAUGAUGUUGCUACACCAUCAGCUCCAGCAACCAUAGCCAAUGGGCCAGGGAUCAUGGGAGCUGUAGUUUGACAACUUAUGCAUACCCUUCAACAUUUCUUUGAUGGAAAUAGGGAUGUCCCAUUCCAUAUUAAUAAUUUUUGCCAUUUAUACCCCACCCAUCUGACUGGAUUAUUUCAUCCACUCUGGGUAGCUUCCAACAUAUAUAAAAACAUAAAAAACUUCCCUAUACAUGGCUGCUUUCAGACAGUUCUGGGGUCAGAUAACUCCAUACCCUCCAACAUCCUCCAAUGAAAAGAGGGACUUCCUACCAUACCUUCCAACAUUUCUCUGAUGAAAAUAGGGGCACCCGAAGGAAAAGUGGGACAUUUCCAGAUCAAAUCAGAAACCAGGAUGGUUUGUGUAAAUCAGGGACUGUCUCUGGAAAAUAGCAACACUUGGAGGGUCUGACUUAUGGCAGGCCCAAAGUUGCCCACACCUGCCCUACAGGUAACAGGUAGCAGUCAGGAGACUACUUCUGCCUCUGAAGGCAUAAGGAGAGCGACUGGAUCAGGCCAAUGGUCUGUUCUGAUCAUCAUUCUGCUUCCAAUUAAAUAGGUAAUUUCUUUUUUAAAAAUAAAUAAAUAAAUAUGUAUACCGGUAAUUAAAUGUUGCCCCAAAUACGAAAUAUUAAACAAACAACAUAACAGAGUUUAUAUUUUAGUAGCUCUACAAGGAAAUAACUAAACAAUUACAAAAAGUUAAGCAAUUAAAUAAACCAAUUUGAAUCCUGUAACACUUUCUGCUGAAACCUGCCACCUUUCAAGUAACAAAUGCCUGGGUGAAAAAAUAUCCCAAUGCUGUCUAAAUGAUGCAACAGGAGGGGAACAUCUGCUUGGGUCUGAUGAACAAAGGGACAUUCACAAGAUACAUCUUCUCUGCAGCCUUGUUGCUCCCUUAACUGUUCUAGAAGGUUGUGGACCCUCCAGAGCAUCAUGAGAGGCAGUGCAGGGGCCUAUAGUGGGAAGGGCAGAUCAGAGGAAAUAUCACCUCAACUCAUGUGGUAACAUCUGCUGGAUCAAGAGCCCUUCCACAGAGAGCUAGUUACGGUCAAAGACAUUUUAUGCCCCUUGAGGCAUGAAGGGUUUCCCCACAUCCAGCCUCAUGAGGGUCAAGAUCUUAGUGAUACCUGCCUCACCUAGGCCAUCUGUUCUUUUUUAAGUAGUUGUUGAGAUCAUCUGUUGUUCUGAACCAUUUGCUCUGAGCUUCCAGAGCUGGGCAGGAUAUAUGCUGAAAAAUUCAUACAACCUCAUCCCUGAAUGUGCAAGACAAGAUGCAGAAACAAUACAAAACAGACUGCAGAACCCUGCUAUGUUUCUCACAUGCUCUCUGUUGGGCUGGCAGCAAGACCAGUGGAUAACGUUGUUUAAUGGCAAGCUUUAUUAUUCCAAACUGGUAGUUUUCAGACCUUUUGCAGCUGAUAUUAAAGAGCUCUGUUUAGCAAGCAGGUCACCUCUGUAAAAUCAGCUUCGUUUUCUUCUAAUCACCAUCAUGAUAAAAUGGAAGCUGAGGUGUAUUUCCAUGUUUUGGUCAUUGUAUGGAUCCUUUGUAGAUAGUCCUAAAUCAUUAAGAUGAGCCAAUUAGGUUAAUUAGCCAUCUUAGAGCUGUUAGCCAGCUGAUGUGAAAGUGCUUCACUAGAAGCUCAGCUAGAGAAGAAUGGAAACUCAAGGACUCCACAAGCUGAGCACCUGGAAUUAGAAUGAGAAAUUAAUGUGAGAUGUGGUUCAUUCUUUGGCAUCUCCAGUUAGGGCUGAGAAUGUCCCAAGUCUGAAAUUAUGGAGCGCCACUGCCAGUCAGCGCAGAUAAUACAAAGGUAGAUGGAUGAGUUGUCUGACUCAGCAUCCUAUUUUCCAUGUGUCUUCCUAUCUUUGUGGUGAUAAUCUGGUUCUACCAAUAGGUAGUAAUCUGAGUAAAUAGAUCUGGUGCUACGUGGGAGUCAAUGAAAACAUAGGCUGAAAAUUUACCAAGGGUUUUCUGCUGUGCAAUUUAAAGGGAUGGGGGAAGAAUGCUUACUUGCCCUUCCCUCAAUAGAUAAACAGCUGCAAUAAAAUUUGCAACCGUCUAAGUUCUUAUGCAUGCAAGCAGCUGACGUUACCACACUAUAAGUUAACACAGAGGUGUCCUAGGGCAUUAAAGGAAGAGUGCAAAUGGUUGAAAUAGCCAGAGUGUGGAGGAUUGAUUGUCAAUAUAGUUUUAUGUGCGUGAAAUGGAGUGGUCUUUAUUAGAAUAGCACAAGAAACAUCAAGCUGCAGUAAAAAUUAUCUUGACAACAUGGUUUGCCUCGUGCAGACUGUUAUCCAAUUCCCAAGGUUGUUUCAAUAGGCUCUAGGGAGUCUAAAAUUAAUUACUCCCAUUUCAUAUUUAACAGAGAGAAAAGAAAAGGAAGACUGGAAACAAGAGAAUCAUGUCCAAGGAAUAUGAAUGCAGAAAGCAAUAAUUAAACGGUUUGGCUUUCGUUUGACUCUGUACAGUAUAAUGCACUCACAUUCAAAAUAAUACAAGAGUUUCACAGUCAUCCUGGUGCCACUUAUAAAUGCUAUUUAUAGUGACAGUUAUAUAUAUAUAGCUUGAGAUUAAAAAAAAGAAAGCAUGUUUGGGAUAGUAGUGAUUACUGGUGCACACACAGCAUGGAUUUGGGUGCUGUGAUAUACGGUUCAUAAUUUCUAAAGCGUCCAUUCCUCCUCCUUCAAGGCAGAUGGAUUGCAGAGGUUAUGUGUACUUGUGCAGAUAUAUGAAUCACAUUAUAAUUGAUAUGUAAUAGGCAGCAGACAUGUAGCCUGUGCUCCACUGCAUAUACAGGAAUGCCAGUUUCAAUAAUGCUUGAACUGCCCCUAAGUUGCAAAUCAAAUUGCUUGUUGCUUCCAUACUUUUAGCUAACUUAAAAAGGUUAGGGGGAGUGAAAGUGAGUUUGGUUUGACAUUUGAAUAGAGACAUUUAAAUUCCAUGGCAGAGAACUAACCCAUUAGGUCAUUUUCUUUAUUCAAAGGGAUCUCUGACUAACACAGUUUGGGCUGAUAAUUGAGAACAGAAAUGUGAUUGUGUCCCAUCAAACCAGGCUUUAUAAUCAAGUAAAUAAUGCUCAGAAGUCAGCAGCAGGGAAUGAUACGAAAUGUCUAAUCCACUGAUAUGAUGAGUUCAGAUAUAAAUUUGGCAGCAGUCAUUUUGAAAAGGCAUAAAUAUAAUUAAGUUUGCCUUAAAAGAAAAUUGCAUCUACUUCCCAGUGUUAUGAGUACAGAGUCUGGAUGAUACAUGGGAAUGGUUGAAGUUUAGAGGUGUUCAAACUGAAGUGAAGUUCAGAGUCAUUUUCAGUAAAUCUAAAAGUUGUUCUGCAGGAUACUAGAGAUGCCAAACAGGAAAGAACGAAUCACGAUUUGUCAUAAUUACUGCAUAUUAUUAUUAUUAUUAUUAUUCCUUUUAUUUUUUCAAAAGUGCAUCAGGUGGCUUAGUGUCAUCUAAGCAUCCAAAUUUUAAGAAUCCUUCAAACAGCAGCAAAAUCUUUAUCUAGUGUAGAAUCAGAAGCAAAUUUUAAGGUUCUUAAACAGUUAAAACAUUUGAGAACCUCCAAAGGAAAUCAAAAUAAUUUUGAAAAGAGUGGCAAUUUUUCCCAAGGUAGGAUCAUACCUUCCUAGGUUGUGCAACACCCAUUGCACACCAGCCUGGAACCAUCUGGUACUAGCCAUGACUCCAGAUUCACUGUUCUCUGACCGCCAGUGCAAGGGCUGUUGUGCUAGCAUAAGAGCAAGAAUAAUGGCUGUGCCAUAUGAAAUCCAACAGCUGCACUAGUGGAAGUUUAUCAUGCAACAGGUUUCACAACAGGAAGUAUUGGAGCUUACAACAAUCUGUUGUACAACCAGUAAUGAGACCCAUGCUGACUUCCUGUGCCUUAUCUUGCACAAGCCAUUCUUCUAGCCCAACUAUGACACCACUAAAGGACUUUUGUUUAGUACUGCUUUGAAUUACUUCCAGGAUAUUUGAUUAUGGCUGUUUUGGUGAUCAUUUAUAGCUGUAAAGGUAAAGGUAAAGGUAAAGGUAAAGGGACCCCUGACCAUUAGGUCCAGUCAUGACCGACUCUGGGGUUGCAGCGCUCAACUCGCUUUACUGGCCGAGAGAUCCGACAUUCAGCUUCCAGGUCAUGUGGCCAGCAUGACUAAACCGCUUCUGGCGAACCAGAGCAGCGCACGGAAACGCCGUUUACCUUCCUGCCGGAGCGGUACCUAUUUAUCUACUUGCACUUUGAUAUGCUUUCAAACUGCUAGGUUGGCAGGAGCAGGGACCGAGCAAUGGGAGCUCACCCCGUCGCAGGGAUUCGAACUAGUGACCUUCUGAUCGGCAAGUCCUAGGCUCUGUGGUUUAACCCACAGCGUCACCCGCAUCCCUAUUUAUAGCUGUGCAUCCCCAUAAAUUCCAUUUAAAAUUAUAGAUGCUCGUUAAGGUUCUGGUGUGUGAUCAAAACAAGAAUCCCUGUGAGAUUGUACAAUUACUAUCAUACCCAGUUUAGACAUGGAAAAGUGUUAAUUCACAGAGAAACUGAUUCAAGGUUAUUCUAUUAAUUUACAAGGGCCUUAACAAAUUGGGUCCAGGAUACCUUAAGGACCAUCUGGAGGAGUCAUGCCUAGUGGUGCCUUGAAUGCACAGCUCACCUCUAUCAGGAGCCAUGUGCUCAAUUCUGGGCCCAAUUUUGUCAAACUUCCAGCUGAGAUCAGACAUGCCCUCCUCCCCCAAUUCCUGUUGAACUUCUGGUGCUGAGCAAAUACUUCCUUUAUUUAUGGUUUUAACUGAUUUUAUCAUUAUUAUGCUUAUUUAAAUCUUAUUGUACACCUCUUAGAGACUACUGUGUUAAGUAGUAUAUAAAAUGUUUAAAUAAAAUAAAAUGGAAGCUGAGAUAGAUAGAACCUCCCCAAGGCUGCCUGUUCCAUUCACUGGAUGAGCUCAUAUACUUGUGCACACACUAGGGGGAAUUAAGUCAAGCAGCUUUUAGCAUUACUGUAGGAGGCAUACCUUUUAUGCCUGCCAUGUGCUAUAACAUACUGAAAAAUGUAGCUGUGGUGUGUCUUCUAAAUACAGGCGUUAGCAUAAGCUGUAAAACUAUAAAAAAUAAGAAGAAACAUGUUUUUUCUCCAAUUAAUUUUUUUAAGUGUUUGAAAUUGCUAUGUGCAGCCAUGCAGAUGGAAGGGGAGAGAAGAUAAAUAUUGCACUACAGAUAGUUAAUCUCUAGCAGAAGCAUUUUAAUAAAUUGGAGUUAUGAAAAAAAUCAGUGCACAUCAAUUGGUUCCAACCAACUCUUGUUUAUCUUCCACCUCUGUCUGUGUUUGAUGGAUGUUGUUCAUGCUCUUUGGUUUACAGUAACAAACAGGUUUUUAAUUUUUCUAAACUCCAUCUCUCCAGUGCCAUUCUGUGAUGGAUGAUGUGACAAAAGGUUCUUCAGUGAAGUCUGAAUACUAAAUAAAUUAGCAGUAUUAGAAGUAGCGCAUCAUUCACCCCUGACUGCAUCCAGUCAUUGCUGCUUUUCUCCUCCUUUACUUGCUUAAUCUCUGGUGGUACAACUAUCUGCUCAGCACAUGACAACGGCCCAAUCCAUAUGCCCUAACAACAGAUGGUGUGUAUGGCAAAUAGGGCACAGAGUGUGCUUGCAAUGAGCAAGGAAAGCACUGACUGCUCUUCCAUAUGUUCAGAUCCCAAAGAAAACUGUGUACAAGCUACAUGCAAAAUAUCAUGAAGUUAAACCAUGUCUAUCUCAAUCAGAUCUCACUGUGGUGUGCUUCAUCUGCUGAUGAGAAAUAAAGAAAUUGGGCUGAAUCCAGUUUAAUCCAGUCUGAACUUUCUAAACAAUGGAUUAGUUGUUUGUCCUGUUCCUGGUUGCUGUUGAUAUUUUGAGACCAUAUAAAGUCUUACCAUUAAGUACUGGUUCAUAUAAGUAUUUCAUAGUUUUAUAUUAUUUAUCUCUACAUCAGUGACACAGGAUUUAUUAUGAAAUGUGUUGGGCCUAAUAAACCUUUUCCUGAGCUCUUUAAGGUCAUCUUGCUUUUUCUUCCUGUGAUUGGUGUUGUCAUAUAUGGAAUCUGUGUCUUACCAUUUGUUUCUCCUUCCCACUGAAAUCAAUGGGACAUGCUAGUAAUGAUUUAAGUCCCGGUGAUUUCAACUGGAAGUAAGCACAACUAAGUUUGUCUGGAUACACUUCUUCACUUUUAACCCUGGGCCUUAUAUUCCUCUCCACAGAGAUUUGUCAAUAUCUACCAGACCCAGGAGCAAGAAACAGUAUACCUUGUCCAAUGCUUUUUGCUGAAUAAGGGCUAUGGAAGAAAGAGAGCUAUAAAGAGGAUUACCAACAAACAAACCCUUACCCUGGAAAAUGAGGCAGAAAACAUGAGUGCACAACGGCUAAUCCAACAUAUCAGUCAGGCUUGUUGAGAGCAAGGAAGAACUACCACUAAUACAAAAUAAAUCAUCUGUGGCUCUCUACAGGUCAAGGUCUAUAACAAACAUCUGAG